rnacentral:misc_RNA from 1 species
AAGACUAUAGACCUGCGGAGUACCUGCGGAAGGAUCAUUACAUGGCGGAGGAGGUGGGCACCUAGUAAAAACAAAACCCUAGGUGUGUUGCCUACCACGCUUUCUACCCUUGUCUAUUUGCACCUUUUGUCGUUCCCUCGGUGGGUCUUGAACCUGCCGGCGGCAACUUUCAAAAACCUUUUGUAGUUAGUAUCUAAUUCUUCUGAUCAAAUAUUCAAUCGUUACAACUUUUAACAAUGG